UACGUAGGAGGCGAGCGUUGUCCGGAGUUACUGGGCGUAAAGAGCUCGUAGGCGGUUUGUCGCGUCUGCUGUGAAAACUCAGGGCUUAACCCUGAGCCUGCAGUGGGUACGGGCAGACUAGAGUGUGGUAGGGGAGAUCGGAAUUCCUGGUGUAGCGGUGGAAUGCGCAGAUAUCAGGAGGAACACCGGUGGCGAAGGCGGAUCUCUGGGCCAUAACUGACGCUGAGGAGCGAAAGCAUGGGGAGCGAACAGG
rnacentral:rRNA from 1 species